GAUGAACGCUGGCGGCGUGCCUAAUACAUGCAAGCCGAGCGAACGGACGAGAAGCUUGCUUCUCUGAUGUUAGCGGCGGACGGGUGAGUAACACGUGGAUAACCUACCUAUAAGACUGGGAUAACUUCGGGAAACCGGAGCUAAUACCGGAUAAUAUUUUGAACCGCAUGGUUCAAAAGUGAAAGACGGUCUUGCUGUCACUUAUAGAUGGGUCCGCGCUGCAUUAGCUAGUUGGUAAGGUAACGGCUUACCAAGGCAACGAUGCAUAGCCGACCUGAGAGGGUGAUCGGCCACACUGGAACUGAGACACGGUCCAGACUCCUACGGGAGGCAGCAGUAGGGAAUCUUCCGCAAUGGGCGAAAGCCUGACGGAGCAACGCCGCGUGAGUGAUGAAGGUCUUCGGAUCGUAAAACUCUGUUAUUAGGGAAGAACAUAUGUGUAAGUAACUGUGCACAUCUUGACGGUACCUAAUCAGAAAGCCACGGCUAACUACGUG
rnacentral:rRNA from 1 species